GUGUUUUUCUUUCUGUAUAGUCUGACGAAAUCCUGACAGAUCAACACAUUUUGCACUAUUGUCCUCCCUUCAAUGAAUGUACUCUAGUUAUCUGAAAUGAUAGUUGGCUAUAGAGGAAACUUUAAUAUCCCAACAUUUACAUACACAUUGGACUCUUGUAUGCAAGCCUCUAAAAGUACCAUAUAACUUAACUUAGUCGGGAUAGGGUCCCACCGUACCCAAAAUGACUGAAACAUAUAAUUCAAUACCUAUCGACUUCUGUACAUCUACUUCAGAGAAGUGGAGUACGAUAACCAACAGCUAAAAUGAGCCCCCUACAUAGGAGGGAUGUCAUCGGGUCUAUCGAUAUAUGUGGGCAUGAACACAACACCCAAAAGAAAAGGGCGUCAAUACAAAAAAUGUACCGAGUAUGUAGAUUAAUAAUGUAUGUAUACC
rnacentral:lncRNA from 1 species